CAGGCACUCCUCAUGGGGCAUCUCAAAGCCAUUGUUCACACAGCGUCAUACCUGAAGAAAGCAUUAAUAUCCCAUCUUAGCUGUCAGACCUGACCUAGUUUGUGUCCCAUUUCUGCAGGGUUGUUGUAAAUAGCCAGAGUUAAUCUGAUAGACUGAUUUCUAUUAAGGUGACUCUGGCUAGUAAUGCCUCAGUUCUCUUCUCAGAUAUCGUUAUUUUUUUUCCAUGAUGUUUCAUGGUUGAAUCUCAAGGAGUUUGUGAAUUUCAGGUUCCUGGAAAUUCAAGAGGGGGCUGGUCAAGGAGUGACUGACACUUUAUGGGCUGGGCAGCCCCUGCCUCCAGUUCCCCAGCUCAAGGACUUCCACUGCAUGAUUAGUAGUGGGGACUUCAGUCCAUCAGGACUUUUGAGCCUCAGGUAGGCUGAAAAAUAGCCCCCCAAGAGAUACCCAUCUCUGGUCUCUAGAACCUGUGACUGUUACUUUAAGUAGCAAAUGAUGUAAUUAAUUUGAUUAAGUUAAUGAGCGUAUCCUGGUGUACCCAGCUAGGCCUUAAAUGCAAUCACAUGUGACCUUAUAAAGGCAGGCAGAGAAAGCUUUGAGAGAGCCACAGAGGAGGUGAUAUGAAGAUGAAGCAAGGAGAGGUGCAGCCACAAGCCAAGGGAGGCUGAUGGCCCUCAGAAGCUAUAAAGGGAAGAAAUGGACUCUCCCCAAGAGGCUCAGGAAGGAGUGUGACCUGCUGCUGCCUUGACCUCAGACUUCCAGCCUCCAGAACCAAGGUUCUCAACAUAAUUUUAACCUUAUAAACAGUCAUCGCCUGUCACAUGUGAACCUGGUCUUAUUACCUGGAAGCAGGAGGAAGAAGUUCAGAAAUCAACAUAAUCACUGGGGCAACUAGAGUGACUUCCAAAGUGGAAGGGGUGACAUUGCCCUUUGGCCCCCCCAGCAUCUGUUCCUAUUUCCUCCUGCCUGUCAGAACUCAGCCAUCCUGUUGUGCGAGUGGCUUUCAGGAACAUUCCCACAGCCCACCGUGGAAACUCACCUGGUGUCAUCACAUAAAGUGGCAGAUCUAAAUGUUGUGUCAUAAGAUGAAUGUGUUCUGUGACUUUAGGGGAGGAAAAGAGAAGUUUGAAAUGGAGCCAGAAGAUAGUCUGUAGAAAAUUCUUUCCAAUCAAUUUUUAAGAAAGGAUUCAUUGACGUCUACUCAAAGUGAAGUUCUUUACUACUUUGGGAAUACAUAUGAAGAUGCAAUAUAUACUUUUAUGGUUCUGUACCACACAAUGAAAUUAUUUUUCAUGUAUUUGCAUAUGAAGUCAACAGAAAUUAUUCUGACAUCUAAAGGGAACUGGAAUGAAAAGAUCAUUCCAAAAGGAGUAAAUCAUUAGAAGGAAGAGAUCAAUUGCAAAUAGAAAUAAUAAAUAGGCUCUUGGAUUAUGUAAUGAUCCAGUUGAUGAAGAGUGAGCUAUAUGAACAUAUUUGAAAAAAAAAUACACUUCUUUAUGAUUUGUCAGGAAUGUGCAUAUUGACAAAGAUGAUGUAGUGUAUAAUACACUGUGGAUAUUUACCACAAAAUAGUUAACAGUCUGCACCAUCAAUUCAAAACCUUCAAGAUGAGGCACUAAAAAACAACAACAAAAAAACUGGAAAUGCUCUGAAAUCUUAGAAAUGACCAAAACUUUGGGUGAAGUUUCCAAAAUGUAACUAUGAUCCUAAACAUCUAUGGGAUGAUAACCAACGAUGAGCUGAGAAGCAAGACACAAACUUUUCUCCAUUGUUAAUAAACAAAUUUGAUCAAUCGGGCUAGAGGAAUGCAUGGUUUAUCUUUACACGCUCUAGAGAGAAAAUAUUACAAGAUCUUUGUGAUAGAAUGAGGUAGUCCAGGAAUAUGGAGCUUUCCAAAAAUGAAGGAAGAAUCUACAGGGGUGUCAGUUAAGUAAGAAAAGUAUUGUGGAAGUUCCCUUGAGGUGCCUCAGGUUAAGGAUCUGGCAUUGCUGCAGCUGCGGUGCAGUCCACGACUGCAGCGUGUUGUAUGUUUGAUCUGUGGCUAAGUUCCACGUGCUGCAGGAUGGCCAAAAAAAAAAAAAAAAAAAAAAAAA